rnacentral:lncRNA from 1 species
UAGCUCCUUCUAGAGAGCCUAGUACAAGGUCCAUAUCCAGGGCGAGUUCGAGCUCCAUAUCCAGUGCAAAUUCUCCAAUCCACGAGCAGAUUCUUCGACUUGAAGGUUUUACAGUAAAUGAACCUGACUGGGAGAGAUUACUGCCACCUGAUUAUGAAAACAUCAUCUCCAGAUCCGUGAAUCGUGUAACCUAUGCUACCAAGAACGACCUCUACUUAAGUCUCUGCGAAUCUCCUAUUUUACUUGACGGUGGAAAAAUGGUAACAUUCUCGUGUGUGUUUAUUAAUAUUUUUAUCUUAGUUUGCAUAUUUAUGGAAACGGAAACAGAAACCAAAUGCGAGCAAAUGUUAAUUGAAAAAUAAAGAUUUCUUUUUAUGAAUAAUGAUAUUUAAUAUUCAUUUGAACUCUAAUAGCUUGUUAAUAUUUUGAGUUAAAAGCAUGCAAUUGUACAAACUUUUAAUUGAACCACGUAUAAGUAAAUUCUUAAGUGAAAUCCGCUACAAAGUCCUGGAUGAAGUUAUCUCAUUUUGACGAUGAAUAUGCAGAGCUUUCAUCUUGAUAAAAGAACAGGGAAGAAAUGUUAUAUGAUUGGAGCAAAGGAACUCAAAAUUACCUGGGGUGACAUCCCGAAGUACUGGGAAUGGAAGUCUCAGAUAGAUUCCAGGUCCUUCACCUUGCACACCUUUUGCGUUUUUAUAAUUUUGGGGCAUGUAAACUGAAGGAAUCAGUAUGUAUAUAUAAAUGCGUUGAUGAAAAACUUAUUGGUGAACUUUUUCCUUUGCGGGCCCCCUCUUUGGACCAAAUCCGCCCACAUUAGGAUCAAUUGGUUUAUCAAACUGGAUGGAUUAACCCUCUGGCUUUUUAAAAGCACUUUUUCACUCUUUCAUGUAUUAGGGGAUUUCACCUGGAAAAGAAAAUGUGCCAUACUAAUGGUUUUUGUUUCUACGGAGUCAACUCUAUCUCAUCAAUGAAAUUAUCUCUCCCACUGUGGUUAUGCAGAUUC